rnacentral:misc_RNA from 1 species
CGAAAUGCGAUAAGUAAUGUGAAUUGCAGAAUUCAGUGAAUCAUCGAAUCUUUGAACGCACCUUGCGCUCCUUGGUAUUCCUUGGAGCAUGCCUGUUUGAGUAUCAUGAAAUCUUCAAAGUAAAUCUUUUGUUAACUCAAUUGGUUUCUACUUUGGUAUUGGAGGUCUUUGCAGCUUCACACCUGCUCCUCUUUGUUCAUUAGCUGGAUCUCAGUGUUAUGCUUGGUUCCACUCGGCGUGAUAAGUUAUCUAUCGCUGAGGACACUGUAAAAGGUGGCCAAGGUAAAUGCAGAUGAACCGCUUCUAAUAGUCCAUUGACUUGGACAAUACUUUUAUCAUCUGAUCUCAAAUCAGGUAGGACUACCCGCUGAACUUAAGC